GAGAGUUUGGCCGAGUGGUUAAGGCGUCAGAUUUAGGUCUUUCCUCUUGCCUGGUGACUUCCAUUACCAGGUAAUAGAGAACAAGCACUCUGAUAUCUACGGAUGCGCGGGUUCGAAUCCCGUAGCUCUCA
rfam:Kluyveromyces lactis strain NRRL Y-1140 chromosome D complete sequence.